CCCUAGUUGGCCCAAUUGUAAACAUAAGGUACUUAUAGGAAGGAGUCAAGAAAGUCAAAGGCAGAAGAAAAAGAUGGGAUGAUGGAAACAGAGGUUGAAAUCAUGCACUUUGAAGAUGGAGGAAGGUGGUCAUCAAUAAAAGACUAUAGGUGAUCUCUGGAAACUAGAAAAAGUGAAAAAAGGAUUCUCCUCUAGAGUCUUCCAAAUGGAACACCGGUCUACUAACAUCUUGAUUUUAGCCCAGUUAAACUGGUUUUAGACUGACCUCCAGAGCUAUAAGAUUAAAAAAUUUGUGUUGUUUUAAGCCAUCAAGUCUGUAGUAAUUUGUAUCAGCAGCCACAGGAAACUAAUACAGACAGCUUACCCAGGCGUUGGGAGCAUGCUUUCAAAAGCACCCUAUUGGUAGUGGGUGGCAUGGUAGCCCUCACUAUAGAAGAAGCGCAGAAAAGUAUACCUACUUUUGGAGAAGCUAACUCGAAGCUGGUUAAGUUAGCAAACAUGUUGGUGAGAACAGGAAAUUGGAAACCAUGG
rnacentral:lncRNA from 1 species